rnacentral:rRNA from 1 species
UGCCAGCAGCCGCGGUAAUACGGAGGGUCCGAGCGUAGUUCGGAAUUACUGGGCUUAAAGAGCUCGUAGGUGGUUAAAAAAGUUGAUGGUGAAAUCCCAAGGCUCAACCUUGGAACUGCCAUCAAAACUUUUUAGCUUGAGUGUGAUAGAGGAAAGUGGAAUUUCUAGUGUAGAGGUGAAAUUCGUAGAUAUUAGAAAGAACACCAAAUGCGAAGGCAACUUUCUGGGUCACUACUGACACUGAGGAGCGAAAGCAUGGGCAGCGAAGAGGAUUAGAUA